rnacentral:rRNA from 1 species
GAUGAACGCUGGCGGCGUGCCUAAUACAUGCAAGUCGAGCGAACAGACGAGGAGCUUGCUCCUCUGACGUUAGCGGCGGACGGGUGAGUAACACGUGGAUAACCUACCUAUAAGACUGGGAUAACUUCGGGAAACCGGAGCUAAUACCGGAUAAUCUAUUGAACCGCAUGGUUCAAUAGUGAAAGACGGUUUUGCUGUCACUUAUAGAUGGAUCCGCGCCGCAUUAGCUAGUUGGUAAGGUAACGGCUUACCAAGGCAACGAUGCGUAGCCGACCUGAGAGGGUGAUCGGCCACACUGGAACUGAGAACCGGUCCAGACUCCUACGGGAGGCAGCAGUAGGGAAUCUUCCGCAAUGGGCGAAAGCCUGACGGAGCAACGCCGCGUGAGUGAUGAAGGUCUUCGGAUCGUAAAACUCUGUUAUUAGGGAAGAACAAAUGUGUAAGUAACUAUGCACGUCUUGACGGUACCUAAUCAGAAAGCCACGGCUAACUACGUG